GAUUUCAUGGACACUCAACGCUUGGUAACACAUGCUUUCAUGUCUUACAAGUAUGGGUUGAGAGCCCAGCACCUGGGUCUUCAUAAAGCAAUAUGCGUUUUGAUGGGGUGGAAUACUUAUGUGUCUUGUGAUACGAGAACUUGGGUUCCAGAUGUCUUGUCUAGUGCAGAAGCUUGGGCUCAGAAGGAGGAUCUGGUUAUCUGGCCUCCACUUGUUAUCAUCCACAAUAUCUCUAUGUCAAAUGUCAAUCCAGAUCAACAGAAGGUUGUGCCUAUUGAAGGGGUAGAAGCUUUUCUUAGAGGUAAAGGUUUUGU
rnacentral:misc_RNA from 1 species